rnacentral:rRNA from 1 species
UACGUAGGUGACAAGCGUUGUCCGGAUUUACUGGGCGUAAAGAGCGCGCAGGCGGUCGAUCAAGUCGAGUGUGAAAGCCCCCGGCUCAACUGGGGAGGGUCAUUCGAUACUGAUCGACUCGAAGGCAGGAGAGGGUAGUGGAAUUCCCGGUGUAGUGGUGAAAUGCGUAGAUAUCGGGAGGAACACCAGGGGCGAAGGCGACUACCUGGCCUGUUCUUGACGCUGAGGCGCGAAAGCUAGGGGAGCAAACGGG